UCAGAGCGAGGAUCAUCCGCUCGCUCCGGAUGUGGGUUCACCUAGAGAAAGUCAAACGGCGGGAAGGGAAACACGGCAGCUACGACGCUACGUAAAAACUACGUCAGCAAAGGGGCGUGGCCUUGUGCCAUAAACUUUGUGGGCAGCCGACCUCGGAACUUCGUGUAACUUUCCUGUGUCAUCAGCUGUUGUUCUUGUUUUAGUUCUUUACAGCCCUUAAAAAAUGUAAAACGUCUUUGUUAGCUCCAGAUCCUCGCAAAGCUACACCCAGUCGGCCACCGUACUUGUCGUUGGCCACCAGCUGCCCCAGGCUGCCUUGGGCGUUCAGGCCCUCUUCUGUGUGUCUAGGCAGGAACUUCAGAUUCCACUCUGCUGCAGGAGCUUAUCGUCCUCUAAUGCACUUCUCAUAUGCUGCUGGAGGAACCAGAACACCACACAGCCUUCCUGGAGGGCAGAAACAGUGAAGUUGCAAGGAAUUAUGGUGGGGGCCACAGAGGAACAAGGCAAGUUCAAGAUUAGCUGGAAGGUAGGAAAUCAGAGGUAGACAGAGAAAGGCGAGCUGAAGCCCAGUGGACACAGAAUAUGCUUAUUUCUGCCCAGCUGGGCUGCAAGAGAGGACGGAACCUGGAGACGACAGGGCACACGCUGGAAGGCAGAAUCUAAGGAGUGCGUCCGCCUUCUGUUACUCUGUUGAGCGACCCCGGCAAAGUCACAUGGCUAUCAAAUGCCUUCACCUCCAAAUGUCUAUGACACUCUGCAAGCAAGGUGCUAUGAUGGUGGUGCCCACGUGUUAUGUCUCCGUUUUGGGAAAGGCAACUAUGUCCAAUAAUGAGGUGAGGUGAGGUCAGAACUUUAGGGGACAGAGUGUGAUUAAAACAGGCCACGGGAUACGGUGUGUGUUUUUACAUGAUUUGUUCCCCCGCCUCCUGUUGAGCUAAAAUGCCCGAAUUUAAGGCCUUUGGCCAGAGAUGCACUUGAAAUUAGUCGUUUCCCUCCUCAUAGAAUCAGGAGGAGGUAGGGACAGCUUGAUGGAGCCCCUGUAGCUGUGAGUUCUGAUUCCCAUCUGCCCUGCCCUGGCCAUAGCUCACCUUCUUCUGGGCAUCAGAAGAAGGGCAAAGAGAUAGGAAGACGGAGGCAGCUGCCUUUGAACUCAGAGAGGACUCUAGGUAGAUACCCAUC